GACAGAUGAGACUUUUAUGCAAGAAAAUAAAUCCUGCACAUUUGAUGUACUGCUUUAAACUUAAAGACCUUUUUGGACCCGAAAUUGUAAAGAUUCUAUAAACCUGAAGAGUAAUCCUAAGAAAAAUCAUCAGAAGAAAGGAAUUCGUAGAACUAAAACUGCAAACAUCCAGAAUCUUGAUGGUGUGCCAAGCCAAAUGUCAACUGGAACUCAACCAAAAACUAAAGUGCUCUCUGAUAAGAUACCCAAAGAAAGAGCGGGUUCAAGCAAUUCUCCUGCCUCUGCCUCCCAAGUAGCUGGGAUUACAGGUUCAAACAAUUCUCCUGCCUCAGCCUCCCGAGUAGCUAGGAUUACAGGAGUAUGCAUGUCCCUGAAAUGGAGCCUGAAGGAUAUACCAAAGGAAGAGUUGCUACAUCCCAUCUCUCCUGGGAAGGGAACAUGCAGGGAGAGAGUUACAAGAGCUCUUCACUCUUCUACCCUGCAGCAAAGGAAAAUAGGUCUCCUCAAGGGAGGCAUUUCCCCGAGCAAAGCUGCAAGCAACAUGAAAUAAUGCACCAUGACUAUGGGUUCUUGGCGAAGGAUUCCUGGCCUGGUACAGUUAGAAAUUGGGCUCUAUUCUCAAGCAAAGGGUUCCAACAAAAAAAUACCACAGCAAGCAGACCAUGGAAUGUGCUUCUCCACUCUUCUGUAGGGGGUGAUGGCACAGAAUCAGAGUUGAACAUGGGAGGGAAGGGGAAGGGAUAAAAAUGUAAUGGAAUUGCAGAGUUGUUGGCAUUCAGAUGUGUAGGUGGUGGAUGGCAAGUCCUGCUUAUUGCCUGUGGU
rnacentral:lncRNA from 1 species